ACCCUAUCGGAAAAAUCUCUAGAAAAUUUUAAAAAAGAAAGAAAAGAAAAAUGAUAUGGUCAUCUCAAUAGACACAGGUGGUGAGGUGAAUGCAAGGGAGCAUUGACUGGUUAUUUAGUUGAACA